AACUAAAAUCCAUGACUCAUUCGGAUUAACCUCAAUAGGUUAAUCUAGGAUCGAGUCACGGUUUCUAGGGUUGCUAUAAAAAACAUAGAUUCACUCUGAAUCAAAAUUUUUGGAGUCGUGCGAUUCUUACGGUGAAGGUCGAUCGGAUUUUACCUGAAACAGAGAGACGGAGAUUGCCUAAAACCGAGUUGAUUGAAGGUUGUAAACUUUAUAACUAGGGUUUACCCUCUUUCCAAAUCAGACGAUCGAAUCCGAGGUUUGAAUCUGCAAAA